rnacentral:misc_RNA from 1 species
CAACAAAUGCUCUCCCUGAGGCAAUUGAUCUAGACCCUACUGGUGCCAUUUUGCUUCAAAUAGAAGCCUUUGUUGGAUGCGCUUGGGACAACCAGAGCAAGCAUUAACUGAUGUUGCAGAGCAUUAAGACCAGAUUGGUCAAAAGCUUGCUAUCGGGAAGGCGAAGCUUUGCGUGUAUUGCAGAGGUUCAGUGAAGCAGCAAAUUCAUUUUAUCAGGGUG